GGACUACUGGGGUUUCUAAUCCCGUUCGCUCCCCUAGCUUUCGCGCCUCAGCGUCAGAAGAGGUCCAGCACGUCGCUUUCGCCACCGGCGUUCCUUCCGAUAUCAACGCAUUUCACCGCUCCACCGGAAGUUCCACAUGCCCCUACCUCCCUCAAGACGAUCAGUAUCAGAGGCUAUUUUCCGGUUGAGCCGAAAGAUUUCACCCCUGACUUGAUUGCCCGCCUACGCGCCCUUUAAGCCCAGUGAAUCCGAACAACGUUUGCACGGUUCGUCUUACCGCGGCUGCUGGCAC
rnacentral:rRNA from 3 species